CCCGAGACACCGGCUUCCAGGGGGGUGGGCGGCAGAAAUGUGCCGCAUCAGCAUCGCGGCUGUCUCUCUCCCAGUCGGCCAGCCACCAACCGGAGAAACCUGCGAGCUAGACGGGAGCAGCCCUCGACUGCGCUGCCUGCUAUGAAUCACACUGCUUCCAAGAUGCGGUUUGUGUUUAAUCUCCGCUCAUCCAGUCAAAUGUGGCCCACGCCUCCCCCCGGUUUUAGCAGGACUCCUCUAAUGGGGGCUGCCCCAUCGGCUCAGUGUCCUAGAGACGAGAGAUUCCUAUUGGCUCUUUUGAUAUCCUGCAUAAAAUGCAAUGUGCCCCCCUAUGCCGUGCUUCAAUUUUGCCCCAUGGAUUAGGCCUACCCAGGAGACAUCAGAUACAGCGCUGCGCUGAGCUUACUGGGUCGGAGUAUAGGGUUUAGGGUAAAAAUAUGAAACUAUGUCUGGAGUAUAAGUGCUGUGCUUCUGUACAAGUUUUACAUUAAUUUACUUAACAGAUGAUUUUGUCCACAUUACCAGACAUUCAAAUCAGAACACAGUAAGGGCUGUAUAUCCUGGGAUGCACAGAAAAGCGAUACUACGUGCGGCAAUCUACUGUUCUAACAGAGCACAUGCACACUCAUUUUAUGUGCCUUUGCGCUGAUAUAACACGACAUAAUCGUGCAUUUUAGCCUUUAUAAUUCGUACUUCAUUUGCGGUAUAAAGGUUAAAAUGCACGGCAAUUUCUUGUCAUUGCAGCGGAAAUGCAAAUAAAUACGCAUUUGCUCUGUUACAACAAUCGAUUCCCGUACGUAUCGCUUUCAAAGGUCAUUGCGUAUUUGCGUGCCAGUUAUGUGCAUCCCUGCUUAUAUCUAGACGUUAUACGUACGUAUGCUGAUCGGCUGUUCUCCUUUGCUUGACGAUUUGUGUCUAUCAUGUCUCCAAACAUCAAGGGGUUUUACAGGCAGUUCUCGGAUUCACGGAUUGGGGGUAAACGUGAUUAGCUAGCACCGGGCUCUGCGGAGUAAACCACAUGGUCACGCACGCCGUUUAAGAGUGCGGUCGCGUGGCGGUAAAGGCCGUUACCCCGGUGACACAUAGGCGGCCCUUUAGUGUCCGGUUCCCCCGGGAAACGAAAAACGAGAAAAGAUGUUCCUCUCCUACGAGUGCUUCCCAAAAUAACGCAGACCAAGUAACUCAAAGUCCUGCUUCCUAUUACCACUGCUUUGUAAUGUGGAAACCGACUACAGCUGAGUGCGUGAGCCCAGGGACACAGGGGGUCUGGAGCCUGUCCCAGGCAGCUGAAGACAUGAGGAUGGGGUCCAUCCUGGAUAGGAGCCCAGACCAUUGCAGCCUGGAGCCCAAUUCGCACUCUGGGAGCUGUGUGAGCCAAGGGCAUCAUUUUCGUGGGUGCCUGGCCCUGAAACAUAGAACCCCCCCCCCUCCCGCCCCCUCCACAAAACCAAUGUCUCUCUGGCGAGCAGGACCAGUGGACACAAAGGCCAGCCGUGAUGGAUCAGCGCCUUGUAGAUAUCACGACGGUGCGUUCCGUUCAUUGUCUUUAUAAAAACAAAGGAAAAAGGAGCCAGCCACCAGGUCUGACCUCCUGUAUGCUCGCCUCCUCGCCCAUCAUACCCUCUUGCCCGUGCAGAUUGCCCCAGGGCCCGGAGGCUGUCUAGAAGCCUCCAAUGAACCGCCAGACCAUAAAGAAGGAGACGGGUCGCACCGAGAUUAGCAUCGAGCGCGGUGUGUUUUUCUUUCACCCAAGCGUGGCUUUUCGGGCUCGCCUGGGAAA